rnacentral:misc_RNA from 1 species
AAAAAUUCGUGUUCCUGUGGCGUCAAUGUGCAUGCAUACAGAAAAUUGUAGCGAUAAUCACUUAGCUAUAUAAAUUGCUAUAUUUGGAGCUAAAAGGUCCUUGCCAUGUGUUUUAAGUUUCGUAUCGUGACAAAAAAUGACACUGCUGUCUGAAGAGAGAAUUCAAAGGAACAAUCAUUUUAAACUUAUCUUUUUUUAUAAAUCUAUGUAUAUUUUAGCCUUUAUGCGCUAGUUUGAGAGUAGAAAACAAUAGAUGUGAGAAUUGACUUUUUAUACAUUCCAAUUUAAUUUGGCACAUGUAGGCUAUGAAUUGUUUUAACUAUUGCUAAUAAAGCUUAUAUCAUAAUU